UAAUACAGAGGGUGCAAGUGUUGUUCGGAAUUAUUGGGCGUAAAGGGCGUGUAGGCGGUUUGAUAAGUCAGGUGUGAAAGCCCUGGGCUCAACCCAGGAAUUGCAUUUGAUACUGUCAAACUUGAGUGUGGUAGAGGAGAGCGGAAUUCCCGGUGUAGAGGUGAAAUUCGUAGAGAUCGGGAGGAACACCAGUGGCGAAAGCGGCUCUCUGGGCCACAACUGACGCUGAGACGCGAGAGCGUGGGUAGCGAACAGGAUUAGAUACCCUGGUAGUCCACGCUGUAAACGAUGAGCACUAGAUGUCGGAGGAAUUGACCCCAUCGGUAUCGAAGCUAACGCGCUAAGUGCUCCGCCUGGGAAGUACGGCCGCAAGGCUA
rnacentral:rRNA from 1 species